rnacentral:rRNA from 1 species
UAGUCAUAUGCUUGUCUCAAAGAUUAAGCCAUGCAUGUCUAAGUAUACGCAAAUUAUACUGUGAAACUGCGAAUGGCUCAUUAAAUCAGUUAUAGUUUAUUUGAUGUUUCUUGCUACAUGGAUAACUGUGGUAAUUCUAGAGCUAAUACAUGCGUAAAAAGCCCCGACUUCUGGAAGGGGUGUAUUUAUUAGAUAAAAACCAUCCUCCUCGGAGUUUGGUGAUUCAUAAUAACUUCUCGAAUCGCACGGCCUUGUGCUGGCGAUGCUUCAUUCAAAUAUCUGCCCUAUCAACUGUCGAUGGUAGGAUAGAGGCCUACCAUGGUUGCAACGGGUAACGGGGAAUAAGGGUUCGAUUCCGGAGAGGGAGCCUGAGAAACGGCUACCACAUCCAAGGAAGGCAGCAGGCGCGCAAAUUACCCAAUCCCGACACGGGGAGGUAGUGACGAUAAAUAACGAUGCGGGGCCCUUUUGGGUCUUGUGAAU